rnacentral:misc_RNA from 1 species
CAACUCCAAAGGAAAUGGAGAGGACUUAAACCGCAUAAACCGCAUAAACCGCAUGACAUCUUGUUUGAUUACGACUUCAAUCCCAAAAUCUCAUAUUUUGGAUUGGCUAAGGUUGGUGCUAAGGAUCAGAGUGUGGAGCCCAUGACAACGGCGAGAGGGACCUCUAUUAUGUGAAUUUAAACCAUGCAAUGUAGGGAUUGGAGGAAUUGAGAAAACAUUAAUCAGAUUGUGUUUUUGCGUUAAAUUACUUUACUCAAUUUGAGUGUAUCAAAAGUAGAUAUGGUAUUUUUUGCACGUGUAUGUUAGAUUGCAGAUGUGCCAUGGAUGCGUAUAAGAUUGCAGGUGUACCAGAGAUGCAUAUAAUCCCAUUUGUAAAUGUACUUGCACUAGUCUGACUUCUAAUUGGAAUGAUUGG